AGCCGUUCAUCAAUGUUAUCAAUCAACAUGCGUGUAUUCAAGACUGUAUUACUCAUCGCGUUUUUCGCAAGCGUUCAGUGUUUACCCGUCACCGACAAGUCGACUGAAUCCAAGACUGAUUCCAAGAUCGAGUCUGAGAUCAAGGAUGAAAUCCCAUCGGUGAUACCACAGGAGACAGCUGUAACCUUCGCCGCACCGACGUCCACGCUCUCCGAUGCCAUCGAUUACUACGACCAACGGCAGAACGGGACCGAGAACUAUCGCAUCCACUUGGAUGGUCUUGUAUUCGUAUUUGCGCCGGUCGAGGCACUGCUCCUGGCCGGCGCCACCGCUGGCAACUCGGAACAUAAUUUAUCAACUUCCAAUCAAAAGGUAUCCACUCCGCCGACGAUCCAGUCCAUCAACGAACUAGACAAACCUAUCAUCGAUAGCGUUCCCAACAAAACCGAUUUGGCGAUCUCGAAGACACUAAACAAACCAGCCGUACGGUUGGUGAAUUUCUUGGCGCCUUUAAUACGUCACAUACGUCAUGUGCGAGGCACGAGCGUGCACUAAAACGAUUCCUCGAUGCUUGCAAUUCCAAUACACAAUGUUCCGUCUACAGCAUAUAUUAAGAAAACGGGAUAGGAUAUCUGCAUCUACAGGGAUGAUGGAUGAGUACUCGUAGAAUAUAACGUGUAUGAUUGACGACCGAAUCGAUGUCGUACCACGCAUUUAUAUGGUGUCUAAUAUUAAUAAAGGGACGCGCUAAUAUUAGCGUUAUCCCUGAGCUCAUUUCUCUGUAACUUAAAAGAUGGCUUUUAAAUGAAAAUACAUGAAAUUACAGGAAUGGCGAUUUCAUUCACCUUAUCCGUAUAAUAUAACGGGCGAUUGUGAUUCAGUAACCACAUAUGUAUUUACAUGUUAAACAAGCUAAAUGCAAUAUUUGCUUUGCCAUAAUUCCGUUUUGAUUUAGCGUCCCAGUACAUAAAUCACUAUUCAUUUACUUAUAAACUAAUCGUAAUUGUUAGUGACGAUUUUUUGUAUUGACAAUUGCAAAUUUUUUACAUGCAUUUACGUGAUAUAAUCUGCUUUAAUUAUGUG